CAUUAUGGAUUUAUUUGUAUUGCUUCUCGGCCUUUUGGCUAAGAUCAAGUGUAGUAUGAAUUUAUUUGUUAGCUAGGUUCUUCUUGAUCAGGU
ensembl:miRNA